CUCCUAUUAGAGAGUACGCAAAAAAACAAUUUGGUUUUACCCGAAAUUGCUUUUUUGCAAGCUCAUUAUCAUCUA